rnacentral:misc_RNA from 1 species
AAAAGGAAAGGUUAGGUUACCUUCUGGCAGGCCUGACUUCAAAAGCUCUUCAACUAAGUGUAUAUUCAAAGCAACUUGAUCAGUUUUUUUACAAGUAAUCUGUAUCUAUCUUCAUAAUUUAAUCUUUCAAGUUACAAUUGACAGCUCCAGAUUAUUGUCCUUGAAUGUCUUCUCCAGUGAUAUUUAUAUUUGACUUCAUCCAAUUUUUUCUUUGUUUUCUUCGGCACUCAAAACAAUCAGCACAUGUGUAGAUUAACUUCUAGGCGAGUAACUGGAAUGAAGCUUGCUGGGUGAUACUUUCAGGUCUUCCACCAGUACCUGACGAAGCUUCUCAUUUUCCUCCAUAAGCUCUUCAAUGACUUGCUGGUGUUUUAACACCGCCAUGGAAGGGAAAUGUAAUCAUCUAACAAAUAUAAUCCAUGAACAAUGAAUUGCAGACUUGCAGAAGUGCUCUCACCCUUUACACACAUUGCAGGUGUUAUUAACACAAAUUCAUAACAUAUACCACCAUGCAAGAGUUUAGAAGCUCCCAUGCAUCUCAAACCAUUCAAACAAAUUUAGCUACUUCAAUUGUGAAUGAUUACAAAAUUGAGCAAUCCAUUGAGAAUUCCACAUUAGAAAAUUCUUUUAGCUCUUUUGGUCAUUAAAUUCUGCUAUAAUUUCAUUGAUGAUCCAAAUUUUUCUUGGUAAUAACAUCGAUUUGACAAAAUGGUGCUUUAAGAUAAGCAGAGAAUAUAUGAAAUAUUACCAUUUGAAGCAGGUUGUUUUCAGAAUGCUAGCAUCCAGCCUGAAAACAUUUCGUCAAAGAAUUAGACAUAAUAUUUGAAAUAUUUCAUAAAAUAAAUCAUCUCAGUUAUAUGCAAACAAGAGUUUGCAAAUUAAUGUCUUCUAUGUUUCUCAAUGAAAUGGUAUUUCAAAUGCCCAAACAAAACAUGCAAACAAGAGAAUCAUCUCAGGUAUUUCAAAUUGACAAUCAAUUAUGCGGUUCUUUGCUUUUGUGCACUCAGAAAAAGCAUGGGUGGAAAAGCAAAUAAUUCACUCCAAUUAAAUAAAUUCUAGCUGAAAAUAUGAAUCAAUCCUACUGAAGGCAAUCCACUAGCAAGUAACAAAAGCACUUGAGUGAUAAAUUACAAAGCACAGUACCCCUGGAUAAAUUAUCACGAACAACAUUCAAAGGUUUGCACAAUAACUAAAGAAAUCCAUUAAUUAAACAGACCAAGGGACAGAUAAAUGUCAUUGUACAUACCACUUCAUUUAGGUUUUUGUCAUCUUCUUUCAGAAUUGGAUUCUGAAGAAAACUGCUUAUGACCUUUUCCUUUGAGCACCAAACAGUGUGUCAUCCAGACUGCUAGUUUGCGUGGAAUUUUCAUAGUUUGAAAGUGGACUCACAUUACCAUAUCCAUGCAUGACUUCAUGUGUUUGGUUUGGAAGUUUUGUUACCAGUUGCAUGAUACUUCCCAAUGGAUUUUUGGAUUGAACAUUCACUGUGCUCAAGCCACUUUGCACAGCCAAUGGAAGGGCACCUUGACCAAUUGAUAGAUUGGGAACCAUUCCGAAUUUCGCCAUCAUCUUUGUUAUCACUUGCUAACAAAUUUGACAUUCCAAAUUCCGAUUUGAAAUACACGAGUGAUAAAUUUUAAGUGGCAUUAUUUGUGCUUGUGAGUUUUUGUAUCUAUAUAUGAACAGAAAAUAAUGAUGCAUACCAUGGAACAGACUUGAAUCUUCUGCACCACACCAGGUUUCACAGCAAGCCCUGACAAGUAAAAUUAAUUUUUCAGCUAUCAAAUAUGUGGACAAUGAAAAAGUGAAAGGCUGCAGACAGAGCAAUAGUCACAUUACAAAUUCAAUUUAGCACAAACUCUCCAUUGCAUAUAAAUACAAUUCCAGCCGAAUUCAUUUCAGAAUUUGGAAAUAUUGAUAUCCAACAGCAUCUAAUUUGAUUCCUUUACGUUCCUUUCGAACAUUUGCUCAACAGACCCAAUUUCACUUCAUCUAAUGCAACCCUCUAGUAAGUCCACUGUACCCAUAUUAGGGAUGACCAUUGCUUCAUGGCAGACCAAUAGCACAUCUCACCCUCAUCCAUCGUUCAUAGUUAUAUGUAUGAGGAGACUGUUGAUUUGUAA